AACGAACGCUGGCGGCGUGCCUAACACAUGCAAGUCGAGGGAGAAAGCCCGCAAGGGCGAGUAAACCGGCGAACGGGUGCGUAACACGUGGAUAAUCUACCUUCCUGACUGGGAUAACUGGCCGAAAGGCUUGCUAAUACCAGAUAAGCCCCCGCCGUCUUCGGACGGAGAGGGAAAAGGUGGCCUCUGUAUACAAGCUAUCACAGGGAGAUGAGUCCGCGGCCCAUCAGCAGUUGGCGGGGUAAAAGACCCACCAAGGCAACGACGGGUAGCUGGUCUGAGAGGAUGAUCAGCCACACUGGAACUGAGACACGGUCCAGACUCCUACGGGAGGCAGCAGGUGGGGAAUCUUGCGCAAGUGGGACGAAGCCUGACGCAGCAACGCCGCGUGU
rnacentral:rRNA from 1 species